ACUGAACCCAGAUCCUCUGUAAGAGCAGUCAGUGCUCUUAACCACUGAGCCAUCUCUCCAACCCCCAAAUCAAGGCUUAGAAAAAAUUAGUGUGUGCAUGCGAGUGUGCCUGUGUGAGUGUGUAUGCACUCAGGUGCACAUGCCUAUGGCAUGUGUGUGGAGGUCAGAAGGCAACUCCUGGGAUUCCCUCCUUUUCUGCCACCUUGUGGGACUGAACUCGGGACAGAUCGUCAGACCUGCAUGCAAGUAUCCACUAAGUCACCUCCCUACCCAUAAAAAUCAUAUUUAAAACAUAUGGAGGUCAGAGGACAACCUGUGGGAUUCAGUUUCCUUUCCACCAUGUGGAAGUCAUCCGGCUCCGCAGCUGGCACCUUUACCCGCUGAGCCAGCUCGAUGGUCUUUAAUCAGAACACUGUUUAACCCUUAGUCCUGCCUGCGUAGAAGAGUUUUCAUCUAGAGCCCAGAGCGUCUAUGGAUGCCUUUAUGGCUGUGGGUUUUGUUUCCCAGGCUAACACAGUUCGCUCUUACCCACACUACCCAUUUCUACCCACGAGUCAUUUAAUACCCAGUUCAACUCUUUUUCCUCUACAAGCUUUUCUCAGGUCCUCGCACACACUCAGAGCCCUUUGCUUGAAUCUGUCCGAGAACUCACCACACUGUUUUAUCUGUUUCUCUUGCAAUCUGAGAGUCCGCAGAGGCCGAGGUAGUCUUCAGCCUGUCUAUCCCCGAAAACGAGAAGAAUUCCACGCAGAGUGCACAUGGAGCAGCUGGGUUAUUAGAGACAGACGACUGUUUCACUUGUGCCUGCAUUUCUAGGCCCUUGCUGUGUGACCCAGAGUGACCUUAAACUCAUGAGUUCAAUUGACCUUCCUGUCAUGGCCUUCCCGUAACUGGGACUACCGCACACACCAGGGCUGGCUUGAUUGGCAUGUUCUUGCGUGAGUCGUUUCUCCAACAUUUCUCACCUCUUUCAUAAACUCCGUGUUUGACAUCUGUAUGCAAAGCCCAAGAACUCACACUGUUACAGUUAGAAGUGAACUUCCAAAUUCUUCAGUCCGAUUCCUUGAUGUGGCAGUUGAAAUGGAGGUUUGGUGGAGAAGGAAUCGCAGCUCAAGGUCACAAAGCUAACCGGAGAUGAGACUAAAACUCACUUCCAGGACUUAAUUCUAGGAAGGAUGGCUGGCAACCCACCCGGCUGUUCAUCCUCCCUUGUUCUCCUAAACAGUACAGUCACAGCUUUAUGAAGGGAAGGCAUACAACCUCUCAGAGACAUUUUCCAAACUCUUGUUAUCAGAUAUGGCCAAGUGACUCCACUCUGACCGACGAGAUAAGAGUGUAAGAGUAUGGAUAUUCGGUCUCCUUAAAAAGGAGGGAAGGCCCAUUCUCCCUUCCAUCUCUCUCCUCAUUGCCGAGAAGGGACCUGAAUCCCUCCCUGACAGCCUUGGGGAAUCACCAUGACAGCACCUAUAGCCUGAAUCCCUGACAGCCUUGGGGAAUCACCAUAACAGCACCUAUAGCCUGAAUCCCUGACCACCUCGGGGAAUCACCAUAACAGCACCUAUAGCCUGAAUCCCUGACCACCUCAGGGAAUCACCAUAACAGCACCAAUAGCCUAGCCUGAAUUUUUUUUUAAAUGAAAAAAAUAAAAUGAAAUGUCUGUUCCUGAG